UAGAGUUUGAUCCUGGCUCAGAUUGAACGCUGGCGGAAUGCUUUACACAUGCAAGUCGAACGGCAGCACGGGUGCUUGCACCUGGUGGCGAGUGGCGAACGGGUGAGUAAUGCACCGGAACGUAUCCAAUAAUGGGGGAUAACGCACCGAAAGGUGUGCUAAUACCGCAUACGCCCUGAGGGGGAAAGCGGGGGAUCGUAAGACCUCGCGUUAAUGGAGCGGCCGAUGCCGGAUUAGCUAGUUGGUGAGGUAAAGGCUCACCAAGGCGACGAUCCGUAGCUGGUCUGAGAGGACGACCAGCCACACUGGAACUGAGACACGGUCCAGACUCCUACGGGAGGCAGCAGUGGGGAAUUUUGGACAAUGGGCGCAAGCCUGAUCCAGCCAUUCCGCGUGAGUGAAGAAGGCCUUCGGGUUGUAAAGCUCUUUCGCAAGGAAAGAAAACUUAUCUCCUAAUACGAGGUGAGGUUGACGGUACCUUGAUAAGAAGCACCGGCGGACUACGUGCCAGCAGCCGCGGUAAUA
rnacentral:rRNA from 1 species